rnacentral:rRNA from 1 species
UUGCCAGACUCCUACGGGAGGCAGCAGUGGGGAAUAUUGCACAAUGGGGGGAACCCUGAUGCAGCGACGCCGCGUGGGUGAAGGAGCACCUCGGUGCGUAAAGCCCUAUCGGCAGGGAAGAAACAGACGGUACCUGACUAAGAAGCCCCGGCUAACUACGUGCCAGCAGCCGCGGUAAUACGUAGGGGGCAAGCGUUAUCCGGAUUCACUGGGUGUAAAGGGAGCGUAGACGGUUCUGCAAGUCUGAAGUGAAAGCCCGUGGCUUAACCGCGGAACGGCUUUGGAAACUGUGGAACUGGAGUGCUGGAGAGGCAAGCGGAAUUCCUAGUGUAGCGGUGAAAUGCGUAGAUAUUAGGAGGAACACCAGUGGCGAAGGCGGCUUGCUGGACAGUAACUGACGUUGAGGCUCGAAAGCGUGGGGAGCAAACAGGAUUAGAUACCCUUGUAC